GUUCCACCUACACCGCAUCACGUGCCGUCCACCUGGAUCUUAUCCUCUCCUCCCGCAUCACGCUCCGCCUCCCCCACCGGCCGCGGCCACUGCAACGCUCGCUCUUCCGCCGCAUCGAAUCCCAACGAGCACGUCCUCCGCCUCCUGCGCCGCGCGACCUUCCAGUGCUGCAGCCCGCAGGUGGUCCCUCUCCCAUGCCGCGUGACCUAAGCUCGCACCGCAUCGCCUCCCUCUCUCCCACCAACAGCAUCAGCGCAUCGCAUAAAGGGGAUCGUCGGCAGUAGGGCAAGCGACGGAACGAGCCAUACCACCCGCGCGGCCGCGCCAGUUCAAGGGAAACAUGCGCAGGCCUAGCCGGCUCCCAGUUGUCUAUCCAUCUUCCUCUCCUAAUAAAUGUCACCUGCGUUAUUUGGUUGUUGUCUCGCCUCCCUCUUCCUGUCUUCUUUGUAUAUAUUACACACAUUAUGUUGUUUGUUGUAUUGCUGCACCAUACGAUCACACAGGUUCAUGGAUCCAUCUUCUAGGCGAUGAGAUUAAUUGUUCCCCUUCAUGCUGAUCCCUAUUGUUCCCGGUUCAUCCCUAAUACAGCAUUCCAGAUUUGACUGUAGGUUUAUUUCUGGAUUCAAGUACCCUACAACGUUGAAUAAUAAGUAUAUUGGCACAAUUUUUUUUUGGUACAUACUACUAGAUUUGAUUCCAAAAUAUACAUUUUCUGCUAUGCUCAAUUUUUCAAUCAUUUAAGUUACCUUGCAACUGUCCAUGAAUUUUAUAUUUUAUACUGGUUAUAGUAUUAUGUCCAGUGAAGCAACUACAGUAUUUGAUAUGCAAGUUAUGCGACUAUAGAUUAUUCUUUGAGGUGACAAAUUAUAAAAAAAAAAUGUCAUCCUCCAGGCAGACGGUGAUUUUGCACAUGAUGUGAUUGGAGAUAAUUCCAUCAUAUGCAGCAUGGUGAUCAAUGAUGUAAGUGAAAGGUAUAGUCUCUGCAGGUCCCUCCCUCCUGGGAUUUUCUUUACAAAUGUUAAUUGAUUUCAUAAUUUAAAUUAUAAUAUUAUUAUCUCAAAAAAUUUCUUGAUUUUCCUUAUCUUUCAUUCUUAUGUAUUUGAGGAGGCAAGAACCAAUAACCUUUUUUUACAGAGCGAUUAGCCAAUUGCUAACGUCAGUUCAGUCGAUCAAUCUGCAGAACUUCCCCCCGAAUUUGUAUGUAUAUUAGGUUACUCAUCUAUAAAACAGGGAUUGGUGACUGGGCAAUAAGCUUCAUAUCAUCGAUAUUAGCUGUAUAAGGUAUUUUUCAGCUUUGCUCUUCUCAUUUGGAAACAAGCGUUUGGUCUAUAUAAACUGUGUUCAGUUAGACAAUAGAUAGCCUACAGUAGCUCCAGCCAAAGUAUGUAUAUGUGACCAUUCAAUUGUUGUCGCUACAUGAGAAAGACUUCUCUUUAUCUCAUUUCUUUAAACUUAUUGGUUCAUCAUCCUUAAUAAGCUCCUAUUAUACAAGGACCCUAACUCAUUUCUUUGAAAA